CCAAUCGAACUCGGAGAUAGCUGGUUCUCCCCGAAAUAGCUUUAGGGCUAGCCUCGAUUUAGAUUCAUGGGGGUAGAGCACUGAAUGGGCUAGGGGGCCACAAAGCUUACCGAACCCUAUCAAACUACGAAUACCAAGGAAUCGAUGAUCGGGAGUCAGACAGUGAGAGAUAAGUUCCAUUGUCGAGAGGGAAACAGCCCAGACCUACGACUAAGGUCCCAAAGUACACGUUAAGUGGAAAAGGAUGUGCAGUUGCACAGACAACCAGGAUGUUGGCUUAGAAGCAGCCAUACAUUUAAAGAGUGCGUAAUAGCUCACUGGUCGAGUGAAUGUGCGCCGAAAAUGUACCGGGGCUAAACGUGACACCGAAGUCUAGGGAUCAGAAAUGAUCGGUAGGGGAGCAACGUAUACGGGAAGAAGCGUAAGCGGAAGCGAGCGUGGACUGUAUGGGAGAGAGAAUGCCGGCAUGAGUAGCGAGAGCAAAGUGAGAAUCUUUGCCGUCGAAAGCCUAAGGUUUCCUGAGGUAGGCUCGUCCACUCAGGGUAAGUCGGGACCUAAGCCGAGGACAGAAGUCGUAGGCGAUGGAGAUCAGGUUGAUAUUCCUGAACCGUCUUUAGCGUUUGACAGAAGCAGUGACACAGAAGGAUAGACAGAGCGGAGGAAUGGAAGACUCCGUCCAAGCGUUGAGGCCGUAACGUAGUGAAGUACGCGUUGCAAGGCUGGGGCGUGAAGGGGACCGAAAAUAAGUAGGGAAGCUGUUGAAUUCACGCUGGCGAGAAAAGCUGCUAUGGAGCGAAAAGGCGCCCGUACCGCAAACCGACACAGGUAGGCGAGGAGAGAAUCCUAAGACGAGCGGGAGAACCCUUGUUAAGGAACUCGGCAAAAUGACCCCGUAACUUCGGGAGAAGGGGUGCCUCGAGAGAGGCCGCAGAGAAUAGGCCCAAGCGACUGUUUACCAAAAACACAGGUCUGUGCGAAGUAGAGAUACGACGUAUACGGGCUGACGCCUGCCCAGUGCCGGAAGGUUAAGGGGAAGUGUCAGGGGGAGACCCCGAAGCACGGAACUUAAGCCCCGGUGAACGGCGGCCGUAACUAUAACGGUCCUAAGGUAGCGAAAUUCCUUGUCGGGUAAGUUCCGACCCGCACGAAUGGCGUAACGACUUGGGCACUGUCUCAACAAGGGACCCGGCGAAAUUGUAGUAUGUGUGAAGAUGCACAUUACCCGCGAUAGGACGGAAAGACCCCGUAGAGCUUUACUGUAGUUUAAUAUUGGAUUUUGAUAACAUAUGUACAGGAUAGGUGGGAGACGGAGAAAUGAGGACGCCAGUCUUCAUGGAGUCAACCUUGGGAUACCACUCUUGUGUUAUUGGAAUUCUAACGAGAUGCCGUGAACCGGGUUUCGGACAGUGUUAGAUGGGCAGUUUGACUGGGGCGGUCGCCUCCGAAAGAGUAACGGAGGCGUCCAAAGGUUCCCUCAGAAUGGUUGGAAACCAUUCGCAGAGUGCAAAGGCAGAAGGGAGCUUGACUGCGAGACCGACAGGUCGAGCAGGUACGAAAGUAGGGCUUAGUGAUCCGGCGGUAUGAGAGUGGAAUUGCCGUCGCUCAACGGAUAAAAGCUACCUCGGGGAUAACAGGCUUAUCUCCCCCAAGAGUUCACAUCGACGGGGAGGUUUGGCACCUCGAUGUCGGCUCGUCGCAUCCUGGGGCUGUAGUCGGUCCCAAGGGUUGG
rnacentral:rRNA from 1 species